UGGAUUAGANNCCCUGGUAGUCACGCCGUAAACGAUGUCGACUUGGAGGUGGGACCCUUGAGGUGUGGCUUCCGGAGCUAACGCGUUAAGUUGACCGCCUGGGGAGUACGGCCGCAAGGUUAAAACUCAAAUGAAUUGACGGGGGCCCGACAAGCGGUGGAGCAUGUGGUUUAAUUCGAAGCAACGCGAAGAACCUUACCAACUCUUGACAUCCAGNUGAAUUNGCUAGAGAUAGAUUAGUGCCUUCGGGAACUCUGAGACAGGUGCUGCAUGGCU
rnacentral:rRNA from 1 species